rnacentral:lncRNA from 1 species
AUACCAGCCCUGAUACCCGCCCUGAUACCAGCCCUGAUACCAGCCCUGAUACCAGCCCUGAUACCUGCCCUGAUACCAGCCCUGAUACCAGCCCUGAUACCUGCCCCUGAUACCCGCCCUGAUACCAGCCCUGAUACCUGCCCCUGAUACCUGCCCCUGAUACCUGCCCCUGAUACCUGCCCCUGAUACCAGCCCUGAUACCAGCCCUGAUACCUGCCCUGAUACCAGCCCUGAUACCAGCCCUGAUACCUGCCCUGAUACCAGCCCCUGAUACCAGCCCUGAUACCCGCCCUGAUACCAGCCCUGAUACCAGCCCUGAUACCUGCCCCUGAUACCCGCCCUGAUACCAGCCCUGAUACCUGCCCCUGAUACCUGCCCCUGAUACCUGCCCUGAUACCUGCCCUGAUACCAGCCCUGAUACCCGCCCUGAUACCAGCCCUGAUACCAGCCCUGAUACCAGCCCUGAUACCUGCCCUGAUACCAGCCCUGAUACCAGCCCUGAUACCUGCCCUGAUACCAGCCCUGAUACCAGCCCCUGAUACCCGCCCUGAUACCAGCCCUGAUACCAGCCCUGAUGCCAGCCCUGAUACCAGCCCUGGUGCCAGCCCUGAUACCCGCCCUGAUACCCGCCCUGAUACCAGCCCUGAUACCAGCCCUGAUACCUGCCCCAGAUACCAGCCCUGAUACCUGCCCUGAUACCUGCCCUGAUACCAGCCCUGAUACCUGCCCUGAUACCCGCCCUGAUACCUGCCCUGAUACCAGGCACAGCCAACCACCGCACGGACAGGCUCCACUACACAGCCAACCACCCCACGGACAGGCUCCACUACACAGCCAACCACCCCACAGACAGGCUCCACUACACAGCCAACCACCCCACAGACAGGCUCCACUACACAGCCAACCACCCCACGGACAGGCUCCACUACACAGCCAACCACCCCACGGACAGGCUCCACUACACAGCCAACCACCCCACAGACAGGCUCCACUACACAGCCAACCACCGCACGGACAGGCUCCACUACACAGCCAACCACCCCACAGACAGGCUCCACUACACAGCCAACCACCGCACAGACAGGCUCCACUACACAGCCAACCACCCCACAGACAGGCUCCACUACACAGCCAACCACCCCACAGACAGGCUCCACUACACAGCCAACCACCCCACAGACAGGCUCCACUACACAGCCAACCACCCCACAGACAGGCUCCACUACACAGCCAGACACCUUGCUACUCAACCCAACAAAACGGACACGCUGUGAUUGCCUCCUGGGAUGACCUGUUUUGAAGAAUGUCCCGACCACCUGUUGCUCCUGAGACAAGAUGGCUCCCAGAAUCAGUUCCUUUUCCUUUUCUCCCGUGACAUAAUCCAGUUUGUUUUGCUACAUUACUGACUGACAUGUUGUUGCAGUGUCAUGUACACAUUUAAAGUGGCGGUUAAAUAAAAAAACAACAACAUUGACAACUUUCAUAACAGUUACAUAC